rnacentral:rRNA from 1 species
GACAGAGGGUGCAAACGUUGUUCGGAAUUACUGGGCGUAAAGCGCGUGUAGGCGGCCCUGCAAGUCGGAUGUGAAAUCCCACGGCUCAACCGUGGAAGUGCAUUCGAUACUGCGGGUCUCGAGUCCGGGAGAGGUGAGUGGAAUUCCUAGUGUAGAGGUGAAAUUCGUAGAUAUUAGGAAGAACACCAGUGGCGAAGGCGGCUCACUGGCCCGGUACUGACGCUGAGGCGCGAAAGCGUGGGGAGCAAACAGGG